rnacentral:rRNA from 1 species
AGCAGUAGCCGCGGUAAAACGGAGGGUGCAAGCGUUAAUCGGAAUUACUGGGCGUAAAGCGUGCGUAGGCGGUUCGUUAAGUCUGUUGUGAAAGCCCCGGGCUCAACCUGGGAAUGGCAAUGGAUACUGGCGAGCUAGAGUGUGUCAGAGGAUGGUGGAAUUCCCGGUGUAGCGGUGAAAUGCGUAGAGAUCGGGAGGAACAUCAGUGGCGAAGGCGGCCAUCUGGGACAACACUGACGCUGAGGCACGAAAGCGUGGGGAGCAAACAGGAUUAGAUACCCCAGUAGUCCCUGUCUCUUAUAC